rnacentral:lncRNA from 1 species
GUUUGUUUGCACUGGUGGCUGCUGGAUCUGGUGAUCUCCAAGGAAAUGACUUCUCAGUAGAACUUGUGCUGGCGAUACUUGGUGAUUCUGCUCCAAGCCUACAUCUUUCUAGCUGAUUAGCCACAAUUUGCCUUUCCACUUCCAGUUCUCUGGUAAGUCUUUGAAAUUGGAGUUCCUGCUCCUUUACAGAGGCUAAAAUGGUAGUGGCAGUAGUCUCGGGUUCCAUUCCCGGGCUGGUGGAAGUCUCCUGCGUUGCCUGCAGCAGCCCCUCUUCCACCACUGGGGUCUGCUCAGGGGCUGGCAUUUCGCCGCAGGCGGCGGCGGCGGGCGCGGCCGCCCCCUCAGCCGCGGCGGGCCCUAGCCCGGGGUCUCCAUGGUGGCGGCGGCAGUAGCGGUGGUGGCGCCGCCGCCCGCUCCGCCUGGCCGCGCUCCGCCUCCCGACGUACGUCACGCAACGCCCCGCCCUCCGCUCCGCGCCUAUUGGCCCGACGGGACUCAGGGCGACGGGGGAUUGGCUGAUGAGUCGUGCCGAGCAGGCCAAUGGCGGAAGGAGUUGAGGUUGCUAUGGUUACCGAUGCCGUGAGGCGGCGGAAGGGAAGGCGCGGGCCGGGGGAUGCCGGCAGUGCCCCGCGGAGGCGCGCAGCGGCCCGGGCCGCUCCCUGGCGGUUCCCGCCGGGUCUAGAAUCAGAAGUUCCUCCCUGAUGCUUCAAGCACUCGUUAUGACCACCAAGCUUCUCAAGGCACAGCCUCUUCAGUCUGGCUGAAGCCUAGCUGUGAUGGAAAGGGACAAUGCUGCCCAGUCAUGUCAUCUCUCUGCCUUUCAUUGUACCAGCAAGCAUGACUGCACAACUGUGGAGCCACCUAGGUUGGAAAACUGAUCCAGUUUUCUCCAGAUUCUCUCCACAACAUAGCUUCUUUUUCAGUUGUAUCAAUGUCCUCAUCCAGCUCACUGUUCUGGCCUUCAGUGCCUGCGCUGUGGUCUGGGCAAGUAGCCAUGUGUAGAGGUGAUGGGGGACCUCCUCUUCUGGCAGUGAUGUGAAAUGGGCUGCCCUGAGCAUCUCUUUCAGCAGAACUGAGGUUUGAGAAAUAACAGCUUGCUGGACUGCAAUAUAAACUCAGUUGCUGAGUUUAGGAAAAGUAACCUUUCUUUGGCAAAACAAAAGAAUCCCAUUUUAAUAUAUUGUCCCGGUUUAUAGGGUGAAAUGGUGAGUGUUCAUUUGGCACUGUGGAGGGUGCAGCGUGCUCCACCACAGGGACAUCUAUAAAUCAGGGCUGCUCUUGCAUGUUUCUGUAUCUGAUGAAAGCGGGCAGCUCAGCAGCAGCUGAGUGGGUGAUCUGGGGAGGCAAUGUGAGAAGAAGCUGGGGGGGAUGUCCAAUAAAGAAAAAAUGAUUAGCAGUCACUGUUGGGUGGGUUUUCAAGUUCCAAGCUUGUAAGUAUUAGCAACUUAUUUAAAAAAAAUCAAGAACAAAACCAAAACCCCCAACCAACAAAACCAAACCUCCACCACUGACAGAAAUGCCACAAAAACUCUGGAGGGUGCAGGUACCAAAAUCUGGUCAAGGAUAGGUGGAUGCCUGCUGGGAUCAUCUGCAGUUCCUACUGGGCAAAAUAGUGCUGGGCUUUAUUUGUGACCUGGAGAAAAACUUGGGAAAUCUGCCAAACUGAGAUCUUUCUCAUCAAUCUAGGAAUGCUGAAUUUCAAACUGGAAUUUAGACAGCCUUACCAAGACAUUAAAGAAAAUACAUAAGCAAGAAGGUUUUUGUGUAUGGACUCUACUUUGCUCGGUGUUGAAAUAAGAGGCUAAUAUUGGAAAAAUAUUUCUGUGUGUGACUCUGUAACUUUCUAAUUGUUGGAUACAGUGCUGGAAACAAAAUCGACUCAGAGGGCUUUCAGUGAUCAGUGGGGCUGUGAUCUGAUGACAGCAGUCCACGCGCUCUGUACAGAAAUUUAAACUCAGUUAUCAGUAAAUAAUUUUGUUCUCAGAGGAUUCAUGACUUCUGCACGCUCUGGGUGACAUCAGGUGUAUUCUGCUGAACUUCUGCUACUACUUGGUAUUGAUUUGUUUCAGUAUCAGAUGGCAUGGUAAAUGUGAUGGUACUCAGAGUUCUGCUGCAGCUCCUUUAAGCCCAGCUCUGCAGCUAUCCGUGCCUGUGAAAUUGCCUGCUUUUUCCAUUGGCCCUGUGUUGCUGGAGAUGGAACACUGCUCUGAAGCACUGGCUGCUCUCACCCCAGUCUUUUGUUCCGUGUUGCUCUGUCACCCAAAGUAACACAUUUUCUUUUCUCAUUAAGCCAUCCCUUUCUUCUACAAGAUCUGUACAGAAGUGAUGCUUCUUUUCUAAAGCUUUGUAGCUUUGGGCUUCUCUUCAGAAAGAUUUUUUUUUGUUAACUAAUGCGAGUAGUCCCAUAAGACCUUUCUUCCUGGUUAUUGCUUGCAGCCUUAGUGAGGGUUGGUUAGUUGUUUUUAAAUGUGUUCUAGUUCCCUUAGAAAAAUGUUCUUUUACUUUCCGUUGUAUAUUUGUAUAGUAUCAAGAACAUAUAAUACUGAUUCAGACUUUACUAAACUGUUUUGUUUGUUUUGGUAUGUAUAAGAUUAUACAUGCAGCUAUGUGGUCCUUUGGAUCCUGCCUAGGAUGAACCUAAUUCCUUAGGAAGGAGAACGGCACCAAAGCUUUUAUAAAUAAAUACCAAAGCUUUUAUAAAUAAAUAAACAGACUUUUUUUUCUUCUACAGUUUGGAAUCAUCUGUAUGGAUCAUAAAUGUGGAAAUAAGAAACUAUGCAGUUUUUUUUACAGAUUCAGCUUGAAGUGCUGUGCCUUGCCUAGUUCUGGGAGCCACCUGUUAGAGAGGGGAUGCAUUUUUUUAGGUUACCAAGGUGACUGGUUUUGUUUUUAAUCACAAAGUUAAAUGUUGUUGUGACAUAAAAGCAUGAGAAGGGUUUACUUGGCUCAUGUUAGUGUUUAGAAGGCAGGUUAAAUUUUGGGCCAGGAGCAUCAUUUCAUUAGUGCUCUUAAGCAAAGAAACCCCAAGUAAGAAGGCUGCUUUUCUUAGGGCUUCUCUGCUCUGUCUGCUCUCUGCGUUUAUAUGGCUCAAAAGUUGUCUGGCUUAGGAGAGAAAUAAGACAGCAUCAGUUUUGUGUGGGUGGCUGAAAUGCUUUUUUUCCAAAACUGAUGAGCCUGAAGAGAUAAUGAAAUUGCAAUAUUUUGUUCCCCUAAUACCUCUCUCCUUAGAGUGCCCCGGACUAUUGCUUUGACUUUGUUUCCCGCUAACAGAAAAAAUGUGUCAGGCAACUCCGAGAUGCUUUGUUGUAAUGCAGGGAAUGCUGAUUGUACUGCAGUUUUCUGUUACAUUGUUCUAAGCUCUGUUAUGUUAAAUGAGUAAUAUUGAUAUAUGUUUUUAUGUGAGGGAUGCCAGAGCAGCAUAGUAUUAAGCUGUUCUAUGCACCAUUGCAAAUAUGCUCCUUUCCACCUGUGGUUAGUGAAUGAGCAGACAUGCUUUGCAAGUUUGCUAAUUAAGGGACAAUUUUACUGUACGUUUGUUGCUUCUUAAAUAAUGGAGGAAAUUAUAGGCUCCUGUGAUGGAUAAAUUCACUUGCUUCUUCCAGUGAAUCUUUAAAUAAAUAUGUCAAAGGAUAUGGUUUAAUUUGUAGUAUUUUUAAUGCUAUACGUGGACGUAACGUUCGUAAUUUCAAUCAUGCUUUGAUACGGGCAGGUGUGUUGUCUACAGCUGGCUAACUUUUAAAUGCUGCCCUUGGUCAGUGCAGAUGGUCUGUCUGUGUUUGUACAGAACAACACAGCCAAAUGGCAGCUGGGGCCCUUGGUUUGUGGUCGCCUGGCAGGCAUGGGUGACUCCACUCCCUACCUUCUUAUGUCCUUUGCCCACUUUCAGAGAUUUGGUUUCCUUUCUUUUACAUCAUUGUUGCACUGAAAAUAAACUUUUUUCUAUGUGGAAUUUUCUUUAAGUUUAUUUUAUCUUGCAUUUGUGAAUUAAAAUAUUGAAAGAUGUAAGAGGGAAACAGAAGUCCUCUUUUAUGUGUGGGUAUUCAGCAAAGUUGUUUUGUUUCGUUUUGGUUUUGUUCCCUUGCAGUGUCACAGAGUCUUCCUGUGACAGGAAGAUUCAGGCUGAUUGCUCAAAGUGCUCCUCAAACUGAUCCUCAUAUUCUGAAAUUAAUUACUUAAUGAGGAACUAAUGAAGUUAUAUCAGACAAAGAGGACUGUGUCACUUCUGGGAACAUGCAGUUUCCACUACUUGACUAUUUCAAACAGCUCCGUAGUUCUUUCAUUAAGGAAUGAAGAUUUGAAUGAUAAUC